ensembl:lncRNA
GGUGGAUAUAGGGCGCUGUGGGGGAUUUAGGGCGCUGUGGGGCGCUAUGGGGUGGAUAUGGGGCACUGUGGGGGCGAUGUAGGGCACUAUGGGGGGGAUAUAGGGCGCUGUGGGGGGGAUAUAGGGCGCUGUGGGGUGGAUAUGGGGCGCUGUGGGGGGGAUAUAGGGCGCUGUGAUGUGGAUUUAGGGCGCUAUGCAGUGGAUAUAGGGCGCUAUGGGGCACUGUGGGAUGGAUAUGGGGCGCUAUGGGGUGGAUAUAGGGCGCUGUGGGGGGAUUUAGGGCGCUGUGGGGCGCUAUGGGGUGGAUAUAGGGCGCUGUGGGGGGAUUUAGGGCGCUGUGGGGCGCUAUGGGGUGGAUAUGGGGCUCUGUGGGGGCGAUGUAGGGCACUAUGGGGGGGAUAUAGGGUGCUGUGGGGGGAUUUAGGGCGCUGUGGGGCGCUAUGGGGUGGAUAUGGGGCACUGUGGGGGCGAUGUAGGGCACUAUGGGGGGGAUAUAGGGUGCUGUAGGGGGGAUAUAGGGCGCUAUGGGGCGCUAUGGGGCGGAUAUAGGGCAGUAUGGGGUGGAUAUAGGGCACUAUGCGGUGGAUACGGGGCGCUAUGGGGCGGAUAUAGGGCGUUAUGGGGAGCUAUGGGGUGGACAUGAGGCACUAUGGGGUGGAUAUGGGGUGCUAUGGGUCUCUAUGGGACACAAUGAUGCUCUAUGGGUCUCUAUGGGUCUCUAUGGGUCCCUAUGUGUCUCUAUGGGUCCCUAUGAUGCUCUAUGUGUCUCUAUGGGUCCCUAUGGGUCUCUAUGGGUCCCUAUGGGUCUCUAUGGGUCUCUAUGUGUCUCUAUGGGUCCCUAUGUGUCUCUAUGUGUCCCUAUGGGCCUCCAUGUGUCUCUAUGGGUCCCUAUGUGUCUCUAUGGGUCCCUAUGGGUCCCUAUGUGUCUCUAUGGGUCCCUAUGUAUCUCCAUGGGUUCCUAUGGGGCUUUAUGUGUCUCUAUGGGUCCCUAUGAUGCUUUAUGGCUCUCUAUGGGUCUCUAUGGGUCUCUAUGGGUCUCUAUGGAUCUCUAUGUGUCCCUAUGGGUCU